AUUAGAACAAAACAAGGUAACAAAAAACCAUUACCAGGAGGCCCUUGAACGAGUGUAAUGCCCGUUGUUUUUAAACAAUCAUAAAUGGCUUGUAAUUGCGAUUCAUUAUAAUGUUCUACUAAUUUUGUUUUCAAUGUUGAAGAUUAUUAUCUUUGCUGGACAACAGAUUGCGUAACGGUUGGGUCAUAGGACUCUCAACUUCCGCACUCCCACUCUCUAAGCUACUCAUACUUAAUACCUUAACUUUUACUGUUUUUUUCUCAUUGCAAUUUAGCAAAUGUUUUACCAAUGGUGAUUUAUCCAAACUGCACAAUGCCUGCAAGUGGAGAAAACGUUCAUGAUCUUCACUUUAACAGAAACCUGUAUCGUACCUCACAUUCGCGAAUAUGGGUCACUAAACUAAUCAGAGGCGUUAAAACCCAAUCCUGCUUUUUUUUUUCCAUACUCUAAAAUGAGUCUAUUGUCACUUGAAAUAUUUUGUCAUGAUACCAUUACUUUAAUUAAUAAUUUAAAACGAUUAAGUAAAAUUGUAUCAUUUGGAUCAAUCGAAGGAACGUAAAUUUUUAAUACAAUUGCAUGAUGACCAACAUCUAGAACACACAAGUGUAGAAAGAGUGAAUUUCAUAAACCCAACACGGUGAAAAAAAUAAAAAUUGUCACCGUAUCUUUUGAUUGUGUAUCAACUCAUUUAAAUAAAUUUUAGAAAGCGUACCUUUAACAAUUCCUAAAAUAUGAAUUCCUUUCAUUAAUUCUUCUACCUCUUCAAAAAUAUCUUUUUCCGUUUCUUUUCCCGUUUCUUUUCCCGUUUCUUUUCCCGUUUCUUUUCCCGUUUCUUUUUCCGUUUCUUUUCCCGUUUCUUUU